CUGUUCGGACGAAUCACCUGUCAAUCUUGAGCCUACUCUUUAGUGUAGGUUGAUUGAGGGAUCCGAAGGAGUGCUGCAGUUGAGAAUAAAACAAUAUUGUUUUGGGGUUUUUUUAACCUGUUCUAGCGUUUUAUUUUGUUUUCAACCGUUGAUAAAGGGGAGUCCAUUUUGUAACGAAUUGCAUUUUUUUUUUUUAAUUAAAGGAAACUGAAGAUUUCAGGUACAAUGUCUUCAGUCGAAGACAGAGCGAAGGAGAUUCUAAAGGGGUUUAAACUAAACUGGAUGAACUUGAGAGAUGCAGAGACGGGGAAAGUUCUCUGGCAGGGAACAGAAGACCUUUCAGUUCCAGGGGUAGAACACGAAGCUCGGGUUCCUAAAAAGAUCCUGAAGUGCAAAGCAGUUUCUAGAGAGUUAAAUUUCUCCUCAACAGAACAAAUGGAAAAAUUCAGACUUGAACAGAAGGUUUUUUUCAAAGGACAGUGCUUAGAAGGAUUUACGGAGCAUCAACUUGUUAGCAGCACUCCUGGGCUGAGUGGUUCUUUGAAUUUGGUUUCGUGAUUCCUAAUUCCACAAACACAUGGCAGUCUUUGAUAGAAGCAGCACCUGAAUCGCAGAUGAUGCCAGCAAAUGUUUUAACUGGAAAUGUUAUCAUAGAGACCAAGUUCUUCGACGACAACCUUCUCGUAAGCACUUCCAGGGUUCGACUUUUCUACGUUUGACCAGAUGGUGUUCAUGGAAACCAACAUUAUUUCUUUUUUUGAAGACCCAUCUCAUCUGCAAGACUUUCCUGUGCUCAUGUGACCAGCUAUCCAGCUUGGAGUGGAUUGACCCAGCACAUUACAAUUUCUCUAAGGAAAUAUCAUACAAGAACCAAAUGAGCAUAUAAAAAAAUAAAUGGUCAUCGGCUCAUUGCAGAAAAAAAAAAAAAACACUUUUGUAUAUAUGGGCAGCUAUGCUCAUUGUGACCAAUCUUGUAAAUUAUUUUGUUAUUUAUACUAUUUUUCGCCAUUUUUCUGCAGCUUUUGAAUCCUGGCUUGCAAUGUACACUGCUUCUUUGUGUGUGUGUGUGCUAAUAUUUAAAAAAAAAAAAAAAAAAAAAAAAAAAUUGUGCUUCCAGUUGCUAUUUUAUUUUGUAAGAUGUGAUACUUUCCUUAGUUGUAACUAAACUGUAAAAUAGUGUGUUAUUACUGAAUGUAAUUAUGCUUUUAAUGAUUUCAUAGACACUAAAUACAAUGAAGUCGAUGAAACAAAACAUCUCCACUCCCACCCCCACCCCCACCCCCCACUAUUUAUAUUGACAUUGCUUUUUAUUUGUAACAGGUUUGCUUUUAAUAGAUUGAGAAAAUGCUUCUUUUUUUAAUGAAGGUACCUAAAUGCAUAUUUCCCAAUGCAUUUAAGGUGCUGUUUAAUAAGUGAUUUUAGUUAUUACAUAUAUUUAAAUUAGACUUGGUUAUCUUUUAACUUGGGUGAAAAUGCCCUGUUAAGCUCAAUGACAGACUUUUAUUUAAAAAAAAAUAAAGGAUCCUAGAACCAUGUAGCAUUCACAGAACUGACUUGCAGUUCAAUUUGACUGUGAAAUGUUGAAAUCGUUAAUGAAAAAUGGGUUGCUUGCAUUUAAAUGAAAGGCAUUCAAAUAUAGUUAAGUUUGGAAUUGGCAAAUUGGGUUUCCAUCUGUAUGCAUAGCAAUGUAAACAAAAUAAAAGUUCUGUAUUUCUUAAAA